GCUGGCGUAGCUCAGCGGUAGAGCAGCUGACUUGUAAUCAGCAGGUCGGGGGUUCAAAUCCCUUCGCCAGCUCCA
rnacentral:tRNA from 1 species